rnacentral:tRNA from 1 species
UUUAAGGUGGCCGAGAUAAAGUAGGAGGCAGGAGAUUUUUAAUCUUCUAACGAGGUUUCUCCCUUUUGC